rnacentral:lncRNA from 7 species
ACACAUGCUGAGAGCCCUGUGCAUGGGGAAACCAGAGCCGCAGCUUGUUCCAGACCCCGGAGCCUCUGAAGCACAGAUGUCUCCAGGAAAUCUUCACGCUUCACCCCAACAGAGCUCUGGCCAGGAAAAGAAUCUCCUUGGUCUAUUUUAAGUUGUAAAAGGAAAGAAUAUGAGACUCUUCCUAAAUUCUUGAAACCGGUAUCUGGGCCUCUGGGAAUGAAGAAAGACUCUGACUGUGACUGCAUUUAGGGGCAGUACCAUUUCCUUGGGAGAUAUAAAUUGCAGUGAAGACAAACAAAAAUACUGCUGAGUAAUCCAUGAGUGUUGAACAUCUGGGAAUCAUCUUCUGUUUUCCGACAACUAUGAAGACUCUCAUACUUUGAGUAAGCUCUGCAAAGUUCAUUGUCCUGCCCAGCAGGUUUGUAAACUUUGUCAAAAGAACCAAGCAGAUGUUCUCCUGGGUCACUGGACAUCCAACUUUCUUACCUGCUUUGGAUGGGAAGUCACAUCAGUUUCAAUCUCUCCUACAUGGCUUUUGUAUGUAACGGCCUACAUUAAUUUGGUCAGCUUACACUAAGACACUCAGAAAAGCCAGGAAGCAUUCCAUUUCCACGAUAAAAAUAAAUGUUCAAGAUACUUCUUAGAAAUAUGCAUACAUUUUAAAAAUAAACCACACCAAAGAAAGUAAACAAAGCAAAAGCCUCUGCUAUUUUAUGAGACCAAUUUCAUUUCAAAGUGAAUUCAGACCUAUGACUUUGGUUAUGUCUGCUCUGGAACUUGAUAUCUGCCAGCAAGUCAGCAUCAGACAAAAUUUCCUGUGUGUUCAGGGAGAACCUGCAAGUGCAACUUCAUUCAGAGCACCAGAGUAACUCUGCAUCUUUCCCUGAGUGUGCAACAACCUCAGUCCUCUCCUACUGUUAUGUGUGCAUGCUCCAGCUAUGCGGACACAAAGUGAGUGUGCAAACACAUUGCACACUGAUAGUCCUUGAGGGUGCCCUCUGCAUCCCAUACUGACACAAGAAAUCCCUGUGAAGCAGGGAUACUAAGGCAAAAACAGACCUGUAGGAUUUGAAGGGGAGUUGUGCAUUCUCACCACCUUGUUUAACAGGGUCAAAGACUGUAU